GACGAAGGGGGCUAGCGUUGUUCGGAAUUACUGGGCGUAAAGCGCGUGUAGGCGGUUGUUCAAGUCGGGUGUGAAAGCCUUGAGCUCAACUCAAGAAAUGCACUCGAUACUGGAUGACUUGAGGACCGGAGAGGAUAGUGGAAUUCCCAGUGUAGUGGUGAAAUACGUAGAGAUUGGGAAGAACACCAGUGGCGAAGGCGGCUAUCUGGACGGUUUCUGACGCUAAGACGCAAAAGCGGUGGGGAGCAAACAGG
rnacentral:rRNA from 1 species